UACGUAGGGUGCAAGCGUUGUCCGGAAUUAUUGGGCGUAAAGAGCUCGUAGGCGGUUUGUCGCGUCUGCUGUGAAAAACUCGAGGCUCAACCUCGGGCUUGCAGUGGGUACGGGCAGACUAGAGUGCGGUAGGGGGUGACUGGAAUUCCUGGUGUAGCGGUGGAAUGCGCAGAUAUCAGGAGGAACACCGAUGGCGAAGGCAGGUCACUGGGCCGCAACUGACGCUGAGGAGCGAAAGCAUGGGGAGCGAACAGG
rnacentral:rRNA from 1 species